GGGUAGAGAAACUGGAGGCUCCCACGGAUUAGUAAGAGACGCCCAGGCUGACUUUGCCUCAGAGACGGAGAAGACAAGACAGGGAAGAGGCACGUCCCACUGAUCCUGAUAAAUCUGGAAUGAUCCAGAUUCACUAAAGCACAACGACUUGGAGAGAGUAAAGAGUACAGGAACUGGUUCCGACUGAAUAUCAUCCAAACCAAGGGAGCAUCUAACAGUUUCCCCUCCAGUCUGAGAAACCAAAGUGUCUGUAUCCAUCUAUCCGGCCAUCUAUCUUUCCCUCCGAUGACUUCGCUGAAGUUAGUUUCAAACUGUUUGCGUGUUAUUGUUGUGUUAGUGUCUUCUUUCUGUGAUUGACACAAGUCUGUACAACUAGGGUUAACUGAUUACCAGAUGAUUUGG